rnacentral:rRNA from 1 species
ACGGAGGGUGCAAGCGUUAUCCGGAAUCAUUGGGUUUAAAGGGUCCGCAGGCGGUGCUAUAAGUCAGUGGUGAAAUCUCAUAGCUUAACUAUGAAACUGCCAUUGAUACUGUAGCACUUGAAUUCGGUCGAAGUGGGCGGAAUAUGACAUGUAGCGGUGAAAUGCAUAGAUAUGUCAUAGAACACCGAUAGCGAAGGCAGCUCACUAGGCCUGGAUUGACGCUCAGGGACGAAAGCGUGGGGAGCAAACAGG